rnacentral:lncRNA from 1 species
CACUUGUAUCUAUAUUAUCAUAUUGUACAAACACUAGACAGUUCUUCGUCUGAACAAGAUUGUGCGCUUAAAAUACAUAGAAUAAAAUCUAAAGCAGGAAAUAAAUAUCAGAGUAAAGAAAAACACUCCAAAGGGACCACUGCCACUCUGAAUACUUUCUAUAACGUGCAAAAACGUGGGCUAGGCUAUUCACCACAGCGUACACACACAAUCAAAACCAACCCAGUGUUUGAAACUUGAUGUUUCCUGCGAUAAGGUUCAUAACUUUCAUUAUUUUCAUCCGCUCCACAGAUUUUUAUGGUCGGUCGUUUAUUUGGGGAUUCUUGGGUAACUUGAUCAUGCAAGAUAAUUUUGGGGCAUCUUGCAAACCGUAGCACUUGGCGAAGGAAGGCUAAAGUUUUCAGAAUUAACAAGGACAAUGACCUAAUUUGG